rnacentral:rRNA from 1 species
AUGCAAUCGAGGGGUAACAUGAGAGCUUGCUCUUGAUUGACGACCGGCGCACGGGUGAGUAACGCGUACACAACUACCUCUAAGUGGGGAAUAGCCUUUGGAAACGAAGAGUAAUACCCCAUAGCAUUAUUUCUUUUUAUGAUGAAAUAAUUAAAAGCUCCGGCGCUUAGAGAUGGGUGUGCGUCCCAUUAGCUUGUUGGUAAGGUAACGGCUUACCAAGGCGACGAUGGGUAGGGGGCGUGAGAGCGUGACCCCCCACACGGGUACUGAGACACGGACCCGACUCCUACGGGAGGCAGCAGUAAGGAAUAUUGGACAAUGGGCGAAAGCCUGAUCCAGCCAUCCCGCGUGCAGGAUGACGGCCCUAUGGGUUGUAAACUGCUUUUAGAUAGGAAGAAACCCCCAUUCGUGAGUGGGGCUGACGGUACUAUCAGAAUAAGCACCGGCUAACUCCGUG